rnacentral:rRNA from 1 species
GGGGGAUAUUGCACAAUGGGGGAAACCCUGAUGCAGCGACGCCGCGUGGAGGAAGAAGGUUUUCGGAUUGUAAACUCCUGUCGUUAGGGACGAUAAUGACGGUACCUAACAAGAAAGCACCGGCUAACUACGUGCCAGCAGCCGCGGUAAAACGUAGGGUGCAAGCGUUGUCCGGAAUUACUGGGUGUAAAGGGAGCGCAGGCGGACCGGCAAGUUGGAAGUGAAAACUAUGGGCUCAACCCAUAAAUUGCUUUCAAAACUGCUGGCCUUGAGUAGUGCAGAGGUAGGUGGAAUUCCCGGUGUAGCGGUGGAAUGCGUAGAUAUCGGGAGGAACACCAGUGGCGAAGGCGACCUACUGGGCACCAACUGACGCUGAGGCUCGAAAGCAUGGGUAGCAAACAGGAUUAGAUACCCUGGUAGUCCAUGCCGUAAACGAUGAUUACUAGGUGUUGGAGGAUUGACCCCUUCAGUGCCGCAGUUAACACAAUAAGUAAUCCACCUGGGGAGUACGACCGCAAGGUUGAAACUCAAAGGAAUUGACGGGGGCCCGCACAAGCAGUGGAGUAUGUGGUUUAAUUCGACGCAACGCGAAGAACCUUACCAAGUCUUGACAUCCUGCGACGAUGCUAGAAAUAGUAUUUUCCUUCGGGACGCAGAGACAGGUGGUGCAUGGUUGUCGUCAGCUCGUGUCGUGAGAUGUUGGGUUAAGUCCCGCAACGAGCGCAACCCUUAUGGUCAGUUACUACGCAAGAGGACUCUGGCCAGACUGCCGUUGACAAAACGGAGGAAGGUGGGGAUGACGUCAAAUCAUCAUGCCCUUUAUGACUUGGGCUACACACGUACUACAAUGGCGUUAAACAAAGAGAAGCAAGACCGCGAGGUGGAGCAAAACUCAGAAACAACGUCCCAGUUCGGACUGCAGGCUGCAACUCGCCUGCACGAAGUCGGAAUUGCUAGUAAUCGUGGAUCAGCAUGCCACGGUGAAUACGUUCCCG